UAAGCGCUGGCACCCGUGCUGCUUGGUGUAGCCGGUGGGUCUGAGACCCGUGGAGGUCAGCGUCCUCCCCAGCCCACAGGCCAUUGGGGACAAGGCAAGAGGGGACCCUUUCCACCUGGGUACCUGGGCCACAUAUCCCUGCAGAGCCAGGCACACUGGGUGCAUGAAGGAGCUGGCAGCGCCGCGGUGGUGGGGUGCCCUUUCUGUUUCAGUACCAGUGCCUGGUGGAAGGUUGCACAGAGAAGUUCAAGAGCAGCGCUGCCCGGAAGGACCACAUGGUGCGGCUCCACCUGUACCCCGCAGACUUCCGGUUCGACAAGCCGAAAAAGAGCAGAGGCCUAGCGGAUCCGGGGCCCCGCGCGCUUGUGUCGGCUGAAGCCCUGGGGGGCGAUGGCGAGCAGUCAGAAGGGGACGCCAUGGAAGUCUGUGCUGAGGAGCUCGGGGCCACCCCUCCAGGCGCCCUGAGUGAGAGCCAGGCCGUGCCGGCACCCACAGAGAGGCGGGCGUACAGCCACAGGUCAGUGGGCUCCCUGUUGUGUGACAUGCCCUGCAUGUGAGGCUUCUGGCUUCCUGGCAGGAUCCUGGGUCUGGCUGUGAGCCAGAGCUCUUACCAAAAGACGCCAGUGCCCGGGGCCAGUGGGAUGCUCUCCUGGGGUGAGAGCUCCAGAGUCCAGUUCCUCUUGAAUAGGUCAAUUUCUCUUGCGUUCUCCAUUUUUGGAAGCCCUGAAGAUGCAAAGCCUCCACCUUUCAUCACUGCCC
rnacentral:lncRNA from 1 species